AUGGCGGCGCUGAUGAUCGGUUCCUCCUCCAAGCCUGAGCUCCUCCUCCCCGCGCUGGCCUUCGUCCUUGCAUUCGUCGCCAUCACCGCGCUCACGACGCCGGCGCAGGGGCACGUGUUCCACGUCGGUGGCCCGCGCGGGUGGCGCGUCCCGGACGCCAACACCAGCUAUGGCUGGUGGGCCAUGAACAACCGCUUCCACGUCGCCGACGAGCUCUACUUCAAGUACGAGAACGACUCGGUGCUCCUCGUCUCCCGCGAGGAGUUUGACGCCUGCAACGCCACGGACCCCCUUUCCAGGUUUGCCGACGGCAGCACCACGGUGCGUCUCGAUAGGCCGGGCUUCUUCUGCUUCAUCAGCGGUGAGCCGGGGCAUUGCGAGGAGGGCCAGAGGCUCAUCGUGCGCGUCAUGGUGCACCCGGCCGAGCCUGCGCCCGCGCCUGGUCCGGCAGCCUAUGCGCCAGGCCAAGGCGGAGACGGCUCUGGGUCUGGCGGCGGGCACGGUGGGUCUUCACCGGGCACGUCGUCUGCUGCCGCUGCGGUUGCUGCUGGCGGCGUCGCUCUCGCUGCAGCGAUGGCCGCUCUUUGUGUCGGUCUCGUCUUGCUGCUUCAGUGA
rnacentral:rRNA from 1 species